rnacentral:misc_RNA from 1 species
GAUGAAGCGGAGACAGCAGCCUUUACGCGAGUUAAUUAUUGUUGCCUUGGUGUAGAGCACGUCGUACAUGAAUCCAAGUUCAGUCACAAUCAUUUUGAAAGCAUUUUUGCAGUAUAUACCUUUGAAAAAUAAUUGGAUAUUGUUUAGCUCUUGGACGCUGAAUAUGAGACCAACAAAGAGACGCUUGAUAAUCAUGAAUACGUAAUGGGCUUUAAGCAAUUCAUGUAUAUCUACAAUAGAGGUAUCUACCAUGGACGAAAUAUCGACCUGGACUUGUUCCUCAAUUACUUCUUGUAGCUCUAAAUAGAAUCCCUCGCACUGCAUCAAAGUGAACUCCUCCAUGAACUUGUUAUAAUUGGGGACGGGAUCUGGAGUGGUAAGUAUGGAAUUUUUAAAUUGAUCGUUGCUCGCUGAUCUAAGGGUCCAUGUCCUCUCUCCAUAUUUGACCAUUCCUGACAAAAGCAUUGGCCAUGUGAAAAUGGAAAAGCGAGAACCUGUCCAGGGCAAGAGGAAAAUGUAGAGUGCCAUUCCUGCAUGUACUCCCAGCUCAAGAAAGUGCAUUAACCACAGCUCAUUGUCUUCCGGAUAAUACGCAGUAGUAGUAUCAGGGCCACCCAAGUGCA